ensembl:lncRNA
GUUUAGUUUUGUAAAAUAUGGCGACUGGAUACGAGAUUGUUCAGACCCUGAACAAGAAGAGGCUCCCAAACAAGUUCGAGAAUUUAGGGUACAACAGGACGUUUCUGAAUGGUAAGUAAACUUUGUCACUUCACUUGUUUUUACUUUGGCUAAGGUCAUACGGUCUAGUCGGUGACGAGAACAUCGCAAUGCUAGAUAAUAGUGUGUGCAUGUACGAGUAUGUCACAAAUACAGUGUGUUUAUGUAAGUUACUGUUUGUGAAAAGUGUUUAUGUAAAUGAAAGUAAGGGGAACGCCAUUACGCCUGCUACACGAGUAAAGCUUCAGCUGUAAAGUAAAAUGUUAUCUGACAACAGUAAUGGACCAAGCAGGUUGUAGUGGCUAAAGUUCCCUUCUUGUUAUCAGGAAUUCAUUUUCAUUCACUUAACCACUCUAGACAGAAAGAACGAGUCUCUACGCGUGUUUAGUGCGUUUAACAACGGUAGAAAACAGUGUUUUCGCUCCGUCUUUACUGAAUACUGAACAAUGAAAUAAAUCUCACAGUUCUUAUACAUUCCAUUAAUGCGCGAGCAGACUACGUCGUAGCUUACUACCAAGCGCACUCCAAAGCAACUCUUAUGUCCCAUGCAUAUCUGGUUAUUCUAAGCAAUGCAUGUACACUAAACAUAUAUUAAACUGAAAUGCAAAACUAUAAAAUACAAUUAUGCAGUCAUUAUAAUGAGUAAUCACUAAAUAUGAAUCUAAACAACAUAAUAUCUUAAUCUGAGUCUAAAUUACAAUGUGGAAAAUGGCACUAACACAGAUGUAGAACAUAACGUAACGUGUUUACCUCCGUUUAUUAGCGUUCAAACAUUGUUUUCUCAUUAUAUCGUUGUAUUUGUCAACUUGUGUCUGUAAUUGUAACACAACAUUCAAAUACACUUCACCUGCAAUGUUGUCACUUUUUAAAACUCUUUAUCUAUACAGGCGUAUUUGUGCCAAGUGUGAGCAAAUGCCUACAGAGCCUGAGAAUGGAUGCUGCAGGGAGAUGCCACAGGUAACAAGAAGACUACUGCAGCUUCCAAACCAACCAACGUGCAUCAUUCGGGACUUUUAGCUGUGUGAUUGAAUGUGUUCUCACUACAGAAUGCAUUCAACAUCUAUAGAGCAGACUAUGGGCCUUAUGUCUAAGGGGAAUAUAGCAACGUUACAGGUAUUUGGUGUACAGAAGCUUUGUUAGCUGGUCUUGGGGCUUUCUGGGACUAAGAAUCUGGGUGGUCCUGCUCUCCUGCUCCAGAUGCUGCUUUGGAGGAUCUGUCUGACAGGGCACAUGAUGUAGCCUAGGACACUGUUCAGAUGUUCUUCCUUAACCACAAGAGCAGCAAUGUUAUUCAUGUUUUUUCCUGAAUGUACACUCUAAAAAGAUUUCAAGUCUCCUCCCCUACCCACUUAACAUUCCUGGACAAAUUCAGACAGUUAAGGCUAUGUAAGAGGACCUGUAGGCUGAACAAAUAUGAUACAAAGGACAUUUUCAAGAAGCCGAAUGCAUACUCCUAACUCACUGCAAGACUUUAAAGAAGACCUGCUAAAGAGAUUGAUUAAUGUCGCAACCAGCCCAUUAUGUUAUGUUAUGGUAGGUUGUUGUGCUGUGCCUUGUCCUAAGAAUUUCAGUGCCCAGUCUGACCCUGUGUCAUUCUGUGCCUCUGGCAAUAAAAGACUUGUAACUUGUAAAUACAUAACUGCAACUCAAAGUAAAAAAAGUGAAUUGCCUAACAAUUUUGUUGUUGAAAUAAUUAAUUUGGAGCAACUUAAUUUUUUAAACGGUUGUCAACUUAAAAACUUGUGUUCAUAAUUAUGGUAAUUAAGUACAUGAAACUUAAAAAUUCCUUUUAAAUAAUGUGGAAAAACUAGUUGGAACAACUUAAUUUUCAUGAGUAAUCAACUUAAAAACGUUUGUUUAUGCUACCAAUUAUUAAGUUAGUGGUAGUUAAAAAUACUUUUGGUUGUAGAGG